GCGCGGGCGCGGGCGCGGGCGCGGGCUCCCCCUGAAUUCCGAACGCAAGCGCGCUCUGCCGCUGGUGGGUUGACGUGAGCGGGCGCGGGUGGGGCUCUCGGUUUCGGCUCGCUCACGCCGCCCCGCUCCAAUUUUCCGCCUCCAUUUCUGCUGCCUCCGCCCAACAAAGCCCACGCUCCCAUCCAUCCAGUUUCUCUCCCCCCAAACACUUGUUUGGGUUCCUCUUCCGCGCUCGCCGGCUCCGCGGGCGGCGAACUGGAGAGGCGGGCGGGAGGGCGUCUCGCGGCGAGGACAUUUGGGUUUGUCGUUUGUGCUGCUGUUAGUAUAGCUAAUUGUUGAGGAUCCGAACCUAAUAAUGGUGGAAAACACUCACCGUAGUGGUCGCCAUGCGUUCGGGGACUUGACAAAUAUCCUUUGCAAGCGACCAGCCCUGUCAGAUCCAGAGAAGAGUACCGGUGGAAUAAAGAUUAGACGGAUCGAAAAGUCUAGGACAGAGUUUCAUGAAAAUGCAUCAAACAGCAGCACAGGGAAGGGGAUUGUAUUUGGGCAUUUAUUUGAUGGUGUUGCCAAACAGAAUUUCGAAAAGCCGUCUAUUUUUCGGCAUACUAAGGUCCACCACAUGGCUGCCAAGGCAGCUGGGCUGCUAUCCAAGGAGGUCGGUGACUUGAAGGAACGUGGCACGUCAAUAGAUUCAUUUGAUCUCAGUGAUAAGGAGCAGGAUUCCUCGCUGGAUUCUGAAGGUGAGUAUGAUGACGACGACGACGACGACGACGAGAUGGAUGCUGAAUUGCCAGGUCAUUUUAGCAGCUCAGAGCUAGCUAAUAAAACAGCAGCUAAUGAUGGUGAGUGCUUGACUCAAGAGGAGAUAGUUGGAUCAUCAGGAAAUCAGAAGACUAUGUCUUCAUUAGAGUUUGUGACAGGUGGUGACAUGCCAAGUUCUAGUGUUCCACAUGCUUCAGCGAGAACUGGUGGCUCUGAAGAAGUUGCUGCCACAAAAUCUUGUGCUUGUUCUUUUUGUCUUAAGGCUGCUUUUAUGUGGACGGAUCUCCAUUAUCAGGAUGCAAGAAGCCGGCUUUCUGGUAGGACGACAAAUUCAACUCCUUUUAUCUUUUUCAAAAAGAAAAGUGUUGAAGAAAAGCAUAAAGCUUGCUAGAGACGCCAAAAAAGGCAAAGGAAAUGAAUAUGCUGCCAAUUUACCUGGGUAUAACUCAAAACGAUCUGUGGGGUUGGAGUUUGAACUAUCUCAACAACAGAGACAACUCUUUCUUUGUACAGAGAAUGCCCUUUUUCAUGAGUCAGCACAGCUUCAUUCAUCUUUUGUGAAGUUAAAAGAAUUAAGAGAGAACUGCAAGACAGAUCUUGAAGCUAUCAGCAAUCCUUUAUUAAGAAAAUGAGAGCUGCAUGGUUGCAUUGCUGAACUAUUCUUUUCCCUGAGAGUUAGAGCAGCUGGCUCGGUUUGAUCAAGACGUGCAUUGAGAUAGGCUGCCAACUCAGGAAUUGUGGUGGUUACCAUCAAUUUGGGGGUUCUUGGCUGUAGCGAUUACUCCUAUCAUAAAGCACUGGUCCAGCAUCUUUGUAGGCUUGUAGCUCAUGUAAAAAUCCCCAUGGCGAGUUUAGGAACUGUAUGAUGGUUUGUCUCAUUUGAGUCAUAGGCUUCACCUGUACUUUGUAGUGAGCUUGCUUCGUAUGAUAAUUGCUUCACGAUCUCCAAACAAAAGGGAAAACAAUGUUGUUUCGAGUUUGCUGGUCAGUUUUAUAGUGCAGGAACCUGUAUCUUCUGAGAGGUUUUUAUUCGUCUUUUUGGGCCACGAUGCUGGUCUACUUGA